CCGGGAGAAUAGCAGUGCCUUGGACCCCAGCUCUCCUCCCCCUUUCCCUCUAAGGAUGGCCCAGAAGGAGAACGCCUACCCCUGGCCCUACGGCCGGCAGACGGCUCCAUCUGGCCUGAGCACCCUGCCCCAGCGAGUCCUCCGGAAAGAGCCUGUCACCCCAUCUGCACUUGUCCUCAUGAGCCGCUCCAAUGUCCAGCCCACAGCUGCCCCUGGCCAGAAGGUGGUGGAGAAUAGCAGUGGGACACCCAACAUCUUAACGCGACACUUCACAAUUGAUGACUUUGAGAUUGGGCGUCCUCUGGGCAAAGGCAAGUUUGGAAACGUGUACUUGGCUCGGGAGAAGAAAAGCCAUUUCAUCGUGGCGCUCAAGGUCCUCUUCAAGUCCCAGAUAGAGAAGGAGGGCGUGGAGCAUCAGCUGCGCAGAGAGAUCGAAAUCCAGGCCCACCUGCAGUAUGGGUUGAUGCCCCCUGAGCCGAAGCCCCUCUGCUCCCUCACCCCCAGCUCCUCAUUCAGCCCCACUUCAUCCAGAUUGCUUUCUCUGUAGCUAUGGCUAGUGAGCCCCGUUUAGCUCUUAGUCCUAGCGAGCCUUGAAUCCAGAAAUCUGCCUCUAGUUUCCCCUUACCACUCCCAGCCCUGGUGUCCACGGCCUGGGCCACGUCUGAUCCCAGUUUGCUCCUAUCAUCUUUUCCAGCUCUUUUAUGCCUUUGGCCUGAGGCCUCCUCUGUCUCUUCCCCCAGCCAUCCCAACAUCCUGCGUCUCUACAACUAUUUUUAUGACCGGAGGAGGAUCUACUUGAUUCUAGAGUAUGCCCCACGCGGGGAGCUCUACAAGGAGCUGCAGAAGAGCCGCACAUUUGACGAGCAGCGAACAGCCACGGUCCGGGCGGAUCAUGGAGGAGUUGGCAGAUGCUCUAAUGUACUGCCAUGGGAAGAAGGUGAUUCACAGAGACAUAAAGCCAGAAAAUCUGCUCUUAGGGCUCAAGGGAGAGCUGAAGAUUGCUGACUUCG
rnacentral:sRNA from 1 species